rfam:Spinacia oleracea cultivar SynViroflay scaffold17661.con0002.1, whole genome shotgun sequence.
UCUCGAUGAUGAUUAACACAGAUGACGAGUCCGAUGAAUCCAUUCAUAAAAUCGUGUGGACAAAACGAGGCAUUUGUCUGAGAGAA